rnacentral:rRNA from 1 species
GAACGCUGGCGGCGUGCUAAUACAUGCAAGUAGAACGCUGAAGGAGGACUUGCUCUUCUGGAAGAGUUGCGAACGGGUGAGUAACGCGUAGGUAACCUGCCUGGUAGCGGGGGAUAACUAUUGGAAACGAUAGCUAAUACCGCAUAAGAUUGAAUAUCGCAUGAUAAUUGAUUAAAAGAUGCAAAUGCACCACUACCAGAUGGACCUGCGUUGUAUUAGCUAGUAGGUGAGGUAACGGCUCACCUAGGCGACGAUACAUAGCCGACCUGAGAGGGUGAUCGGCCACACUGGGACUGAGACACGGCCCAGACUCCUACGGGAGGCAGCAGUAGGGAAUCUUCGGCAAUGGGGGCAACCCUGACCGAGCAACGCCGCGUGAGUGAAGAAGGUUUUCGGAUCGUAAAGCUCUGUUGUAAGAGAAGAACGAGUGUGAGAGUGGAAAGUUCACACUGUGACGGUAUCUUACCAGAAAGGGACGGCUAACUACGUGCCAGCAGCCGCGGUAAUACGUAGGUCCCGAGCGUUGUCCGGAUUUAUUGGGCGUAAAGCGAGCGCAGGCGGUUAGAUAAGUCUGAAGUUAAAGGCUGUGGCUUAACCAUAGUACGCUUUGGAAACUGUUUAACUUGAGUGCAGAAGGGGAGAGUGGAAUUCCAUGUGUAGCGGUGAAAUGCGUAGAUACAUGGAGGAACACCGGUGGCGAAAGCGGCUCUCUGGUCUGUAACUGACGCUGAGGCUCGAAAGCGUGGGGAGCGAACAGGAUUAGAUACCCUGGUAGUCCACGCCGUAAACGAUGAGUGCUAGGUGUUAGGCCCUU